rnacentral:sRNA from 1 species
UGGACCAUGACUGCAGCACGCACCGCCGA